rnacentral:lncRNA from 1 species
GGGGCCUGCGGUGAUUGGCGGGCGGGCGGGGAGGUCGGAAGUACUUUGUUUUUUAUGCUAAUGAGGGAGUGGGGCUUGUCCGUAUUUACGUUGAGGCGGGAGCCGCCGCCCUUCAUUCACCCACAUGGUCCUUCGAGGUGCCGCCGCAGCCGCCCGACCUGCGCCUUCGCGCCACUUCGCGCCCUCGGGCGAGGCCGAGGGGGUGGGGACGACCCCUGCCGCGCCGCCGCGGCUCGCGCCCCUCGCGAAGCCCCUCGGCGGGGCGGGCCGGCCGGCGGGCCGCACCCCCGGCCUGGGGCCUCGGGUCGUAGUAAAGCGGAGGCGGGUGGGGAGGCGGGAGCGAGAGCCCGCGGCGGGCGAGGCGAAGAUGGUGGCGGCUACUCCUCUUGUCAUACACGUGGACCUAACUUCACCAAAAGCUUUUCUAAGGAUACUUGCUGAGAAGGAAGUUUACCUGAAUGGGUAAGUGGAUUUUAAUUUUAUUUUGUUAACUUCUUUAAAAUAAAAAAAAAAAAAAGUUUUUCUUGACUUAAUCUUCGAUUUGGAUAAAUAAGUGCGGUUGGGUUUACAAAGAGAGAAAUAGGUGUUUUGUACUCUUUCUAGACAAUUAACUUAGUAUAGGUCAGCUAACAUCUAAGUAAAAAUGCAAUGCAAAUAUGUUAUAAAUCUUUGCAAGCUGGUGCACAGUUUACAAAAUUUAGAACUAGUUAAAGUUGGGGUGACAAAAUAGAUGUAAUCUGGAGUAAGUUUUCAAGGCUUAAAAUAGUUUAAUUGGGACAUAAAACUUCUACAACCAGCUGAUAACACUUGAAAUGUAGUCUGAACUGUAAUUUUAUUAAUCAAUUUACCAAGUAAUUGCUAAUGGGAAGCCGGAAGAAAAGAAAAAUGUUUUGCCACGUGGAUGUGAAGAUUUCCUCUAAAAGGUAUAUGCAGUCUGGUUUUUUUUUUCUUUUAAAGUAUGCAUUUGGGAGUGGCCAAGUCAAGAAAGCCACCAUUUUUUUCUUAAAGUAUUAGAAUAGGUAGGUAGUUAUGAUUGUCUUGUG